AAAAAAAAAAGACAGACAGAUGGAGAAUGAAAGGAAACGUGCAUAAGCAUUUGAAAUAUAUGUAGUGGGCCAGAAUAAAACAGAUGAUAGAAACCCUUGCUCACUUUUAAAGAGAAUUAAAUGUAUUUGCUUGUGGUGCAUUUGGAAUAAGGGGUUACUGAAAGGGAUGAUGGGGCCUGUGAGAAAAAGUGAAGGCAUUUAUUGAGGGUGUUGCUGAAAGCUUUAUCUUUGCCUCCAUUUUCAGGAAGGAAUAGAGGACAGAUGGCAGAAAUUUCCCAAGGGAGAAAAGCGAAUUACUAGAGAAGAUCGGGAUCACCUGAACAGGUGAUCAUGAAAUCGAAAUGCCUGAAAACUCAAUUUCUCAAGGUCGAUAUAACCCAUGCUUAGGUAACCAGCUUUCCUGAAUGCUGAGGCAAAUGGGACAAAAUGAGAUAACAAGGAGGUGCCAGAGGACUGGGAUAAAGAUGCUUUUCACUUCAGACAUGACCAUCAGACUCCAGCUGUACAGAGGAAUGCAGUUCUGUUCCAGUCCCAGUCUAACAACCAGUGCCCAUCGACAUGGUAACAUCCGUUCUUCAUAUGGUACGUGUGUACGCGAUGGGCAUGCACAGAGGGUCACCACCAGCCCAGCCCUGUCUGCAGCGACCUGAUGAUCUUUGUGUGUUUGAGUGCAUGUCAAAUGGGGCCUGUGGGUGUUUGGAAAGGCCAGCUAUCAAACAGUUUCCUAUUAUCAUACACCCUGGGAAGAAGUUCUCAUUUCAUACCCCUGCUCCAGAGAGGUUCACCCUUCAGGACAAUAGGGUGGCCUCAGGAGAAGGACCUCAGUUGGACACAGUGAAAUGCUGCAUUUGCAAUAGCCAUGGAGCCCCUUGUUGGAACAGAUAUAAGAAUCAGUCAUGUCUUUGUCUUGGAGCUCGGCACCUCUUCUGGAGGAGUCCCCUGAUGUGA
rnacentral:lncRNA from 1 species